AGAGUUUGAUCCUGGCUCAGAUUGAACGCUGGCGGCAUGCCUAACACAUGCAAGUCGAACGGUAACAGGCCGCAAGGUGCUGACGAGUGGCGGACGGGUGAGUAAUACGUAGGUAUCUGCCCUGUAGUGGGGGAUAACCCGGGGAAACUCGGGCUAAUACCGCAUACGCUCUUUUAUCGUUGAGAUAGGAGAGGAAAGCGAGGGACCGAAAGGCCUCGCGCUAGAGGAUGAGCCUACGCCCGAUUAGCUAGUUGGUAGGGUAAAAGCCUACCAAGGCGACGAUCGGUAGCUGGUCUGAGAGGAUGGCCAGCCACACUGGGACUGAGACACGGCCCAGACUCCUACGGGAGGCAGCAGUGGGGAAUAUUGGACAAUGGGGGAAACCCUGAUCCAGCGAUGCCGCGUGGGUGAAGAAGGCCUGCGGGUUGUAAAGCCCUUUCAGUGGGGAAGAAAAACGGGGUGUGAAAAGCGCUUCGUCUUGACGUUACCCACAGAAGAAGCACCGGCUAACUCCGUGCCAGCAGCCGCGGUAAUACGGAGGGUGCGAGCGUUAAUCGGAAUUACUGGGCGUAAAGGGCGCGUAGGCGGUUAGGUAAGUUGAGUGUGAAAGCCCUGGGCUUAACCUGGGAAUGGCAUUCGAGACUACCUAUCUAGAGUCUGGUAGAGGGAAGUGGAAUUUCCGGUGUAGCGGUGAAAUGUGUAGAUAUCGGAAGGAACACCAGUGGCGAAGGCGACUUCCUGGACCAAGACUGACGCUGAGGCGCGAAAGCGUGGGGAUCAAACAGGAUUAGAUACCCCCGUAGUCC
rnacentral:rRNA from 1 species